UACGUAGGGUGCUAGCGUUGUCCGGAAUUACUGGGCGUAAAGCGUGCGCAGGCGGUGAUGUAAGACAGGUGUGAAAUCCCCGGGCUUAACCUGGGAACUGCAUUUGUGACUGCAUCGCUGGAGUGCGGCAGAGGGGGAUGGAAUUCCGCGUGUAGCAGUGAAAUGCGUAGAUAUGCGGAGGAACACCGAUGGCGAAGGCAAUCCCCUGGGCCUGCACUGACGCUCAUGCACGAAAGCGUGGGGAGCAAACAGG
rnacentral:rRNA from 1 species